CUCACCGGAGGGACUUGUGCCCGGUAAUUAUAUUGACGUUUUGGAACAAAUGCGUGAGGAUGCUGCGAGAGGAUGGACGGGAACGGCAGAAGGCCCAGUCAAGAUGGAGCAAAAGCGCAUGGAGUAUGAAGUACCUUCCUGCAUCACUUGGCUGCUGGUUCAGUGCCCUGAGAGAUGUUAAGAGAAGGCUGAAGGGCCGAGGUCCCGAACUGCCACCUGAACCACAACCAUUCCAGCAAAAAAGGGCCAAAAUCCGAGGAGAACUGCAUGGUUUGGUCUUACAUCCUCCAACUUAACUCCUCGCUAUUCUUCCCCCCUUUCAAGAAUGCGAGUGGAAUUCUAUUCCUGCACCAUGGGCUAUGGGUAAGCUGGAUCCUACCCCGGCUGACACAGAAUGGCGUCAACAGAUCAUUCUUGCAUUUUCUUCAAGCCCUGCAGGAUUCUCUUUGUGUCCGUUCAUGUGUUUGACUUCCUCCAUCAAGUCCAUCAGAGGCUAAUGGCUCUCUUAUUUGUUGGUUUUGUCCUGCACUGCUCCAGUGGUUCUUUUCCCUGCAGAAGGAUGUCAGCUCUGUGUGCAUGGCCAUCCCUGAGGAGGCUUGAUGCCAUCUUGUCUAUGUCUGAUCAUUACACUACCUGCUCUCCUCCACAAUACUGCCCUCUUGCUGCUUGGCCACUUGAAAGGCUUCGCUGGCCUCUUCAGUCCAACCA